GCUCUCGUCGUUCAAUGGAUAGGACACCAGUUUGCGGAACUGGUAAUCUAAGUUCGAUUCUUAGCGAGAGCACAA
rnacentral:tRNA from 1 species